AUUGAACGCUGGCGGCAUGCCUUACACAUGCAAGUCGAACGGCAGCGCGGGAGCAAUCCUGGCGGCGAGUGGCGAACGGGUGAGUAAUACAUCGGAACGUGCCCAAUCGUGGGGGAUAACGCAGCGAAAGCUGUGCUAAUACCUCAUACGAUCUACGGAUGAAAGCAGGGGAUCGCAAGACCUUGCGCGAAUGGAGCGGCCGAUGGCAGAUUAGGUAGUUGGUGAGGUAAAGGCUCACCAAGCCUUCGAUCUGUAGCUGGUCUGAGAGGACGACCAGCCACACUGGGACUGGGACACGGCCCAGACUCCUACGGGAGGCAGCAGUGGGGAAUUUUGGACAAUGGGCGAAAACCUGAUCCAGCCAUGCCGCGUGCAGGAUGAAGGCCUUCGGGUUGUAAACUGCUUUUGUACGGAACGAAACGGUCUUUUCUAAUAAAGAAGGCUAAUGACGGUACCGUAAGAAUAAGCACCGGCUAACUACGUG
rnacentral:rRNA from 1 species